UACGAAGGGGGCUAGCGUUGCUCGGAAUCACUGGGCGUAAAGCGCACGUAGGCGGAUUCUUAAGUUAGGGGUGAAAUCCUGGAGCUCAACUCCAGAACUGCCUUUGAUACUGGGAGUCUUCGAGUCCGGGAGAGGUGAGUGGAACUGCGAGUGUAGAGGUGAAAUUCGUAGAUAUUCGCAAGAACACCAGUGGCGAAGGCGGCUCACUGGGCCGGUACUGACGCUGAGGUGCGAAAGCGUGGGGAGCAAACAGG
rnacentral:rRNA from 1 species